rnacentral:rRNA from 1 species
GACGAACGCUAGCGGCGUGCCUAAGGUAUGCAAGUCGAACGGGUUGGAGGGCUUGCCCUCCAGCUAGUGGCGAACGGUCGAGUAACACGUAGACUACCUGCCUUCCAGUGGGGGACAACCGCUCGAAAGGGACGGCUAAUACCGCAUACGGCGAGGGAGAGCCUUCUCCCCUGGCCAAAGGGUUGGCGCAAGUCAACUCGCUGGAAGAUGGGUCUGCGGCCUAUCAGCUUGUUGGUGAGGUAACGGCUCACCAAGGCGACGACGGGUAG